AAAUCUGAAAUGAAUGAAAUUGGAAGAAUUAUUGUGAAAAUUAAAAGAAAAGAAAGCUGCGUUGUUCCCCUCAUGGAUUGGACGACGGCGCCCUGAAUUCCUUCCUUUCUGAAAUUCUGAUUUUCCGUACGGACCCGCCAUUCCCAUCAUUCAUUCAUUCUUUCAUUCAUUCAUUCAUUCAUUCUCAUGGACCUCAACCUUCCUUCCUCCCGCUUCCGCCACCGCAAUUCCCCUUCCUCCGAACGCUUUCUCGCCUCCUUCCCUUCUCCCCCCGUUCGCUCUUCAAACCCUAGUUCCACCACCGCCCUCGACGACGAUUCCGAGCUCAACGAAGACGACGUCUUCUGGACCGGCGAUUUUGCUUCCGAUUCCGUCCACCAUAGCCACUCCACUCCUUCUUCCUCUUCCUCUUCAACUCCUCGUCACCAUAUUCAUCACCUCCAGCAUCACAAGGGUUUUCCUCUGCCUGAAACCUUCGGAAUUCUCGCUGCUCUUCCCGAGAACGAGGCCUCCUCCAGUCUUAGAAACUCUUCUCAUUUCUAUCACAAGGCCUCUGUUUCGUCUUCUUCCUCCUCCUCCCCUUCGUCUUCUCGUAUGAUUCCCACGAUCCCCAAACCUCCUCUGGACCGAUUGCCUCUUCCCAUUUCGACCUCGUUGAAGUACCAGUCUGCACCUGUGAAUGUGCCAAUAAUGUCGAAGGCGGUUGUUCAAAGACAGCUGGAGGUUGAUGUGGACGAUGUUGAUGAAGACGAUGGGGAGAUGUUGCCGCCGCAUGAGAUUGUGGCUAGAAGUUUGGCUCAGUCGCCGAUGUUGUCGUGCUCUGUGCUUGAGGGAGCUGGAAGGACGUUAAAAGGGAGGGAUCUUCGUCAGGUUCGCAACGCGGUUUGGAGACGAACAGGUUUUCUUGAUUAAGGAAUUGAAUUCCAGUAAUUAUUUUUGGAGAACAGAUUUGCACCAUUCGCUAAGCUGCUACUGUCUGGUUCACUUUGACCACUUCUUGUGUCGCUCUUUUUAGAAAUAUAUAUUGAGGGUCCAGGAAUAUUUGAAUCUGCUUGACACUCAUCGUAACGAGGAAUUGGAAUUGUAAUUAUCUGAAGGGCGCCUAAGAAUUUUCUUUGAAGCUUAUUUGGGCGUACAAAAGAAGAAGCCCACAAAAAGAGGAAUCCUAUUACAAGAAGGGACUCAAACUAUACAAAAUCAAGUCUAGGAUAAUUACAACAAACCUUUGAUAUUGAAGCCCAAUGAGAGACAUGUAGACGGACAUGAGCACACAAGUCUCCACUCACCCUCUCGACCCCACCCUACUAUUCCUUUCAUCCCACAACAACCAUAAAAUAGCAUAAACACUAGCACACUAGAUAAAAUGGCCUCUCUCCUCAAAGAGUGGAUUGAGGAGAAACUCCUCGAUCAUAUCUCUAACCACUCUGUGACGAACACUACUCAUGCCAAAUGUCUGGAGGAGAGUAUUCCAAACAAAGCUUGCCAACUCACACUGCCAUGGAAUAUGGUCCAGCUCUUCUGGCUUUCGACAAAGGAUACAGGAGAAAGGCGCCAACCCAUGACGGCAACUUCCUCAUAAGCCUGUCCAGUGUACUAAUACGACUGUGGAGAACUUUUCAUUGCAUUAUCUUGUUUUGGCUUAUAAAAAAUUGAGGGGGAGCUAGAAUAAUCUAGGAAUGACGGUAAGGAACUUAUAGAACCUGAAUUCAUUUUAUUAGUAUGCAUAGACUAAAGGCAAUCGUUAUCAAGUGAAAAUUUGUGAUGCUGGUCUUGUACUUCCAUCUAGAUAGAGUAGGAUUUGAUCGAUAAUACUUUCAUUUGUUAUAUCAGAGUUUUCCACACUUUUCAGCUCAUAAAUAUAUUGAUGGAUCCUUACUGUUGGUGAUGUUGCUUGCUUGACCUCCAGCAUUUUCUUUCCGUGUCUGCAGGAAAUACUUGUUGAAUUUUUUUUAUGAGAUGGGAUCCUGAUGCAAUAGAUUUAAAUAGCUAAAUCCAAAAUUCAGAUAAACUAAUUAACCACAACUCUAAUUACUACACUGAAAAAAUAUCUAAUAAAAUAUUUUGCUGCAUCAUUCGCUCCAAUUUUUUAAGAGAACUCAUUCAAGGGGAUCGAUAGCGUUCAUCAAAGUGGCUAUGAGAGUGGUUCCCUCCCUUGUCAGUUCAAUAUGGUACUGGGGAUGGCUUUUUCACCUUCUAUGGCUCUUUAUGCUAUCUAUUUAAACCUGCUGCACCAUAAUUUUUUAAGGGAGUACAUUUUUUAUUAUUUGUUUCUAUAUGUUAUUAUUAUCUUCUAGAUUUGACACAGGCAAUGACCAUAGCUUGACUUUCCUGAAAAAAAUGAGAUCAAGUCGUCUUGAUGGUUUCUGAAGUCUAGAGAACGAUGUAGUACUUUUCUUUUUUGUUGUCCUGUUCUUAACUUGUUUCCUUUCAUUUUUGCCCCUUGAUGUGACGAAAAAACACUUAAAUAUGCUUGUUUCUUCAACCCUGGCUCCACCAUAUGGGCAUAGCUUGACUCUCUUAGAAAAAUGAGGCCAAGUCCUCUCUAUUGUUUCUGAAGUUUGGAGAGUGAUGUGCUUCUUUUUUUCCUUUUUCCUGUCCUAUUCUUAACUCGUUUCCUUUCGUUUUCUUCCCUCACGUAUUCUUGUUCUGUCAUAUUUUUGUUGCUAGAAAUUGUGAUGAAAAAAAGAACAUAAUAUGCUUGUUUCUUUAACCAUCACUCCACCAUUGUAAGUUUAUGGAAAAUUGAGAUAUUUUUCAAGUACUGUGCAGACAUGGACAACUUUCGUUCUCCAUCAAGCAGUUACUUAGAGUUUCAGGUAUUUACAGGCUAAAGUGAAAAAUACUGGCACGGUAAUUUAGCUUAUAGUACCUAAAGAAAGUGAUCACAACACUAUUUUCACAAAUCAUUUGAUCCCUUCAUCACACAUUGUUAGAUUAGUAGGUUCAGUCAUUAAUUUUGUCUUGUAUAUGGUUAAAAUUUGCAUUACCUUCGUCUGAAUCUUGCUGAUAUUACUUACAAUAUUCUCAAUCUUCUCCACAGCAUUCAAAUGGUGGAGAAUCAUUUUGUAUGUUCAUUGAAGCUAGCAAGUAACUCUCAAUGUUCUAUUUUAGAUUUUCAAUCUCCUUAUCAAACUGGAAGAAAGAGAAUCGUUUUGUUUGUUGAGGUUUCUUGCCUCUGAGAAAUGACACCAUUAUCAAAUCAAAUCCAGUUUUGUUCUACAUUAUGUUGGACUAAAAAUUUUACAGGGGUAUUCUGUCUCCUGCAGGCAUCUUCCCCAAGUCUCAGGUGCUUUACUUUUGCUAUUAAUGCCCUCUGCUUGCUAAAUCUUAAAGAGAAACAAGUAAACUGCGGCCUUCCCUUAUGUGUAUGAUGACCAAAACAGAAGAAAGCCUCAAUUGUUGAGUUUCUCAAAUUUUUAGCAAACAUCCAUGGAAACAUAACAUAGUCAAUAUGCAGAUAUUUUAUUUCUGUGUAAUGUGUCAUUUUACAGAUCUUGUUAUUGUUUCUGUAUCCUCCAGCUAUGAUCAUACAUUAAUUGUUUUUAAUGGAAGAAAUUUUAGCUGAUCACCAUUAUUCUUGCAGACAGGUCUGCAAAUGCAACCUGUUGGUUAAGACUUUCGGUUCAUAGGUAUGAUUUGAUCCUAAACAGUAGUUUGUAUUGUCACAAUUUAGUCCAUAGUAUUACUAUUUAUACUAUUCUGUACU